rnacentral:rRNA from 1 species
CCUACGGGUGGCAGCAGUGAGGAAUAUUGGUCAAUGGGCGCGAGCCUGAACCAGCCAAGUAGCGUGAGGGAUGACUGCCCUAUGGGUUGUAAACCUCUUUUAUCGAGGAGCAAAGUGCGGCACGUGUGCCGUUUUGUGAGUACCCGAAGAAUAAGCAUCGGCUAACUCCGUGCCAGCAGCCGCGGUAAUACGGAGGAUGCGAGCGUUAUCCGGAUUUAUUGGGUUUAAAGGGUGCGUAGGGGGAAGGUUAAGUCAGCGGGAAAAUUGGGGGGCCAAACCUCAUAGAGCCGUUGAAACUGGCUGUCUUGAGUGCGGUAGAGGUAGGCGGAAUGCGUGGUGUAGCGGUGAAAUGCAUAGAUAUCACGCAGAACUCCGAUUGCGAAGGCAGCUUACUGGCGCGCCACUGACGUUGAUGCACGAAAGUGUGGGUAUCGAACAGGAUUAGAUACCCGUGUAGUC